rnacentral:rRNA from 1 species
UUUCCGGUUGAUCCCGCCGGACCUGACUGCUAUCGGAUUGAUACUAAGCCAUGCGAGUCAUUGUAGCAAUACAAGGCAGACGGCUCAGUAACGCGUAGUCAAUCUACCCUAUGGACGGGAAUAACCUCGGGAAACUGAGAAUAAUGCCCGAUAGAACAUUAUGCCUGGAAUGGUUUAUGUUUCAAAUGAUUUAUCGCCGUAGGAUGGGACUGCGGCCUAUCAGUUUGUUGGUGAGGUAAUGGCCCACCAAGACUAUUACAGGUACGGGCUCUGAGAGGAGUAGCCCGGAGAUGGGUACUGAGACACGGACCCAGGCCCUAUGGGGCGCAGCAGGCGAGAAAACUUUGCAAUGUGCGAAAGCACGACAAGGUUAAUCCGAGUGGUUUCUGCUAAAGAAACCUUUUGUCAGUCCUAGAAACACUAACGAAUAAGGGGUGGGCAAGUUCUGGUGUCAGCCGCCGCGGUAAAACCAGCACCUCAAGUGGUCAGGAUGAUUAUUGGGCCUAAAGCAUCCGUAGCUCGUUUUGUAAGUUUUCGGUUAAAUCCAUGCGCUUAACGUAUGGGCUGCCGGGAAUACUGCAUAACUAGGAAGUGGGAGAGGUAGACGGUACUCGGUAGGAAGGGGUAAAAUCCUUUGAUCUAUUGAUGACCACCUGUGGCGAAGGCGGUCUACCAGAACACGUUCGACGGUGAGGGAUGAAAGCUGGGGGAGCAAACCGGAUUAGAUACCCGGGUAGUCCCAGCUGUAAACUAUGCAAACUCAGUGAUGCAUUGGCUUAUGGCUAAUGCAGUGCUGCAGGGAAGCCGUUAAGUUUGCCGCCUGGGGAAGUACGUACGCAAGUAUGAAAACUUAAAAGGAAUUGGCGGGGGGAGCACCACAAGGGGGUUGAAGCCUUGCGGUUUCAAUUGGAGUUCAACGCCAGAAAAUCUUUACCCCGGGAGAGACAGCA